UUGUUUUUUUCUCCCUUCCACUCCAUCCAAAUCUUCACUGAUAUCAUUCUUCUGUCCUUAUCUCACUUCUCAACCCUUCUUCCCCUCUCUUCUUCUUCUUGGGUCUGUUCUUCCGUUCUGGAAUUAAGGCAGUCGACGUUUGCAAGUGUAGCAUCAUUAAGAUUCACAUAGUUCGAGCGUCUGUCUCUGCUCUAAUUUGAAGUGAGAAUCUUGAUGAUGCUGCACCAGCAAUAGGUGACUACACCAUGAAAGAAUUGGAUCCCGGAUUCAUGCUCUUAUCUUAUUGAGUUUGCUGUCUGCUUGAAAUUAGAAGAGUUGGGAUCAAGGAAGUUGUAGGAAGGGGCAACGAUCUUACAAGGAAGCUACAAUCAGGGAGAGACAAUUAAAGCAAGAAGAAUCAUGUUGGACCGGAGUGGAACAUAUCAGAAGAUUGGACGUCGAGCCGGAGGAUCAAUCGACAUAUCGGUAGAAGACUUUGGGCCAUGGUUUGGGCAUCGGGCCAAGAAAAGCUAAAAUUAUGGCAAGAAAAUUGGAGUUACGAAGGUUAACUGGCCAAUUGGGUAAUAGGCCAUAAGAGAGGACGAUGCGCUGAAGAAUCGGAUGAGACGUCGAUGAACCAAUGACAUGUCGGAUAACAUUUGGUUUAGCUUUGUAAUAAUUGUCAAGAUCAAAGUAGGUUUUAGGUGUAAUUGGGUUGGAAUUGGGCCAAUUUAAUUAAGGGCCAAUUGGGCCCAAGUUUGGGGUAUGUUGGGCUAAGUGAAAAGCCCAAAUAGUGACCCAAUAGGUGGAAUCGUCGAUGGCACAAUCUCCGAGACUAUGUCAAGCGAUGGUACCACCAGUCUGGGUAGUGGUACUGUCCAGACACAAUCUCUGAGACUAUAAUAAGCGGUGGUACCACCCAAUAACAAGAUGUUAGGUAGUGGUACCGCUAGUCUGGGCAGUGGUAUUGUCCAAACACAGUCUCCGAGACUAUAUUAGGCGGUGGUAUCGCCUAGUGGCAGGAUGUCAGGCGAUGGUACUGCUAAACUAGAUGUGAUACCACGUAGUAUUAGUGCUGCAGGUAGUGGUAUUGCCCAGCACUAGCGAUGGUACCGCCAGUACUUGGAAG